AUUGAACGCUGGCGGCAGGCCUAACACAUGCAAGUCGAACGAGUGGCGGACGGGUGAGUAAUGUCUGGGCACCUGCCUGAUGGCGGGGGAUGACUACUGGAAACGGUAGCUAAUACCGCAUACCAUCAGAUCUGCCCACAUGGGUUUAGCUAGUUGGUGGGGUAACGGCUCACCAAGGCGACGAUCCCUAGCUGGUCGGAGAGGAGGACCAGCCACACUGGAACUGAGACACGGUCAGGACUCCUACGGGAGGCAGCAGUGGGGAAUAUUGGACAAUGGGGGCAAGCCUGAUGCAGCCAUGCCGCGUGUAUGAAGAAGGCCUUCGGGUUGUAAAGUACUUUCAGCGGGGAGGCGUUACCCGCAGAAGAAGCACCGGCUAACUCCGUGCCAGCAGCCGCGGUAAUAC
rnacentral:rRNA from 1 species